rnacentral:rRNA from 1 species
AGUGAACGCUGGCGGCAGGCCUAACACAUGCAAGUCGAACGGCAGCGCAGCAGUAGCAAUACUGUGGGCGGCGAGUGGCGGACGGGUGAGGAAUACAUCGGAAUCUACCUUGUCGUGGGGGAUAACGUAGGGAAACUUACGCUAAUACCGCAUACGACCUACGGGUGAAAGCGGCGGACCGCAAGGCGUCGCGCGAUUGGAUGAGCCGAUGUCCGAUUAGCUAGUUGGCGGGGUAAAGGCCCACCAAGGCGACGAUCGGUAGCUGGUCUGAGGGGAUGAUCAGCCACACUGGAACUGAGACACGGUCAAGAAGCCUACGGGAGGCAGCAGUGGGGAAUAUUGGACAAUGGGCGCAAGCCUGAUCCAGCCAUGCCGCGUGUGUGAAGAAGGCCUUCGGGUUGUAAAGCACUUUUGUUGGGGAAGAAAAGACGCCGGUUAGUACCCGGUGUUCAUGACGGUACCCAAAGAAUAAGCACCGGCUAACUUCGUGCCAGCCGCCGCAGUAAAAC